AACGAACGCUGGCGGCAGGCUUAACACAUGCAAGUCGAACGCAUCCUUCGGGGUGAGUGGCAGACGGGUGAGUAACGCGUGGGAACGUGCCCUUCAGUUCGGGAUAACCCAGGGAAACUUGGGCUAAUACCGGAUACGUGCGAGAGCAGAAAGAUUUAUCGCUGAAGGAUCGGCCCGCGUCUGAUUAGCUAGUUGGUGGGGUAAUGGCCCACCAAGGCGACGAACAGUAGCUGGUCUGAGAGGAUGAUCAGCCACAUUGGGACUGAGACACGGCCCAAACUCCUACGGGAGGCAGCAGUGGGGAAUAUUGGACAAUGGGCGCAUGCCUGAUCCAGCCAUGCCGCGUGAGUGAUGAAGGCCUUAGGGUUGUAAAGCUCUUUCGUCCGGGACGAUAAUGACGGUACCGGAAGAAGAAGCCCCGGCUAACUUCGUGCCAGCCGCCGCGUAA
rnacentral:rRNA from 1 species